AGUGGAAGGCAGCAGGGGAGCAGCUCUUCCCGAGAGCACAGAGGAGGAUGAGAAACUGCUCCCAGGCUCUCAUGGUUGGUGGUGGCAGGAACAGCAGCAGCAGUGGGCAGAGUGCUGGCUCAAGCAAAUGGCAGGAAAGCAGGUACAAGCGGUGGAGUUUCCAAUCUCUGCCAAGACCAUGAGUCUCAGAGGUCUGGCAGUCUAGGAAGCCAGCAGAGUUGUUGCAGCCCCAUUGAAGACAACAAUGAUGAUGGCUUUUGGACUUGCUGAGACCAAUGCUGUAUAGUAGAAAGCUGCUACAGGCUCCGGACCUGCUGCCCACCCCACCUGGCUCCGUCCUGCCGCUUCCUGCCUCAGCCUGCAGCCCUGAUCGUCCUCACCUGGUACCUGGUCCCAGCCUUGCCCACCCCCGCAGCCGCUCCAGCUCCUGGCCUCUCACCGGCCCGCUGCCUGCCUAUUUCUGCGCCCCAGACCCAAGAGCGUGACCCCAGCCGGCUCAUCACCCAGAUCCUUGGAGCAGAUCGCUCAGGACUCAUUGCGACCAGCUGGUAACAGUAUUGGCCACGUGGGCGGAGGGGAGAGACCAGAGGGAAAGGAGACCGGGCAAUUUUCCUUAGGCUAAGCCUCCACGUGGCUGGGGGUAUUGGCCACAGGGGGGUCAGAGAGGGGAAAGAGAGAAAAGACUAGAGAGAAGAAACAGACUUUU
rnacentral:lncRNA from 1 species